GUACUCACUUUGGCAGCAUAUGCACUAAAAUUGAAACAAUACAGAGAAAAUUAGCAUGGCCCCUCACAAGGAUGAUGCACAAAUUUGUGAAGCAUUCCAUAUUUUU